GACGAACGCUGGCGGCGUGCUUAACACAUGCAAGUCGAACGGAAAGGCCCUGCUUUUGUGGGGUGCUCGAGUGGCGAACGGGUGAGUAACACGUGAGUAACCUGCCCUUGACUUUGGGAUAACUUCAGGAAGCUGGGGCUAAUACCGGAUAGGAGCUCCUGCUGCAUGGUGGGGGUUGGAAAGUUUCGGCGGUUGGGGAUGGACUCGCGGCUUAUCAGCUUGUUGGUGGGGUAGUGGCUUACCAAGGCUUUGACGGGUAGCCGGCCUGAGAGGGUGACCGGCCACAUUGGGACUGAGAUACGGCCCAGACUCCUACGGGAGGCAGCAGUGGGGAAUAUUGCACAAUGGGCGGAAGCCUGAUGCAGCAACGCCGCGUGCGGGAUGACGGCCUUCGGGUUGUAAACCGCUUUCGCCUGUGACGAAGCGUGAGUGACGGUAAUGGGUAAAGAAGCACCGGCUAACUACGUGC
rnacentral:rRNA from 1 species